rnacentral:rRNA from 1 species
CCUACGGGGGGCUGCAGUGGGGAAUAUUGGACAAUGGGGGCAACCCUGAUCCAGCCAUGCCGCGGGUGUGAAGAAGGCCCUCGGGUUGUAAAGCACUUUCAGUGAGGAAGAACGCCUGGUGGUUAAUACCCAUCAGGAAAGACAUCACUCACAGAAGAAGCACCGGCUAACUCCGUGCCAGCAGCCGCGGGAAUACGGAGGGUGCGAGCGUUAAUCGGAAUUACUGGGCGUAAAGCGCGCGUAGGUGGCUUGAUAAGCCGGUUGUGAAAGCCCCGGGCUCAACCUGGGAACGGCAUCCGGAACUGUCAAGCUAGAGUGCAGGAGAGGAAGGUAGAAUUCCCGGUGUAGCGGUGAAAUGCGUAGAGAUCGGGAGGAAUACCAGUGGCGAAGGCGGCCUUCUGGACUGACACUGACACUGAGGUGCGAAAGCGUGGGUAGCAAACAGGAUUAGAUACCCCUGUAGUC